GUGUCGAGCAACCAAUUCGAGCGUGCUGCAACACAUCUCGACGCCUUACCCAGCCACAGCUCCGCCGCACCGCACCGCAACCCUAGCCGCCGCCGGAGCACGCCGCGACGCCGUCGACGGAGAGCACGCCGUGACGCCGUCCAGGGAGUUCACGCCGCGAGGACGCCCACGAAGAGCAGCACGGUACGCCGCGACGCCGUCGACGGAGCACACAGCCAGGGCGCCACCGACGCCGCCGGAGCCAGCCGUUGGGACCUCACCGGCCGUUCGUGGAGCCCACCGGCCAUCCGCAGAGCCCUGCGUCAAGGGAUCGACUGCUCGGGGCGCUGGCUCAUCAGGUCCAGUUAAGAGAAAUGAAAAGAAAGACUUUGAACAAUUGGUUUGCAAGCACUUCAAACACCCCCCGUGGCAACUUCAUCUGUUGAGCGAAUUUUUUCAGCUAUGAAGAUCAUCAAAACAGAUUUGCGCAAUAAGAUCUCGGAUGAUUGGCUCAAUGACUUAAUGGUGUGCUAUUGUGAGAAAAGGAUAUUCAAAAGUAUUCAUGAUGAUCAGAUCAUGAUACAAUUCCAGAAAAAGAGUGAUCGGAAAGCUCACCUGCCUCAUGGCAUGGCGCUUGGGAUCUGAAGCAUAUAAUCUAUAUAGUUCUACAGUAGCAUUGGUUAGAAGCAAAACCGGCAUCAUUGGUUUCGUCUUCCUUUUUGUUGCUUCUGUAGUACUUUAUCUAUUGCUGUGUGAAUUGUAUGCUUUGGAAUCGAAAGUUUGUGGUAUGACCAAAUAUGUUACUACUUACUAGUAUUGCUGUUGUAAAAUAUCA